rnacentral:misc_RNA from 1 species
GAACUGCGAUAAGUAAUGUGAAUUGCAGAAUUCAGUGAAUCAUCGAGUCUUUGAACGCACAUUGCGCCCCCUGGCAUUCCGGGGGGCAUGCCUGUCCGAGCGUCAUUGCUGCCCUUCAAGCCCGGCUUGUGUGUUGGGGCGUCGUCCCCUCCGGGGGACGGGCCCGAAAGGCAGCGGCGGCACCGCGUCCGGUCCUCGAGCGUAUGGGGCUUUGUCACCCGCUCGAUAAGGACCGCCCGGGCGCCAGCCGGCGUCUCCAACCUUUUUUUCUCAGGUUGACCUCGGAUCAGGUAGGGAUACCCGCUGAACUUAAGC